CGCACGGGUGAGUAACGCGUAUCCAACCUGCCGUCUACUCUUGGACAGCCUUCUGAAAGGAAGAUUAAUACAAGAUGGCAUCAUGAGUCCGCAUGUUCACAUGAUUAAAGGUAUUCCGGUAGACGAUGGGGAUGCGUUCCAUUAGAUAGUAGGCGGGGUAACGGCCCACCUAGUCUUCGAUGGAUAGGGGUUCUGAGAGGAAGGUCCCCCACAUUGGAACUGAGACACGGUCCAA
rnacentral:rRNA from 1 species